rnacentral:rRNA from 1 species
AUUGAACGCUGGCGGCAGGCCUAACACAUGCAAGUCGAGCGAGCGGCGGACGGGUGAGUAAUGUAUGGGGACUGCCCGAUAGAGGGGGAUAACUACUGGAAACGGUAGCUAAUACCGCAUACUAUCGGAUAACCCAUAUGGGAUUGGCUAGUAGGUGAGGUAAUGGCUCACCUAGGCGACGAUCCCUAGCUGGUCUGAGAGGAUGAUCAGCCAAACGGGGACUGAGCAACGGCCCAGACUCCUACGGAGGCAGCAUGGGGGAAUAUUGCAUAAUGGGCGAAAGCCUGAUGCAGCCAUGCGGCGUGUAGGAAGAAGGCCCUAGGGUUGUAAAGUACUUUCAGUCGGGAGGCGUGACCGACAGAAGAAGAACCGGCUAACUCCGUGCCAGCAGCCGCGGUAAUAC